rnacentral:rRNA from 1 species
UAAUACGGAGGGUGCAAGCGUUGUUCGGAUUUAUUGGGCGUAAAGCGCGCGCAGGCGGAUAGAUAAGUCAGAUGUGAAAUCUCGGGGCCCAACCUCGAAACUGCGUCUGAAACUAUUUAUCUAGAGUCUCACAGGGGGUAGGGGAAUUUCACGUGUAGGGGUAAAAUCCGUAGAGAUGUGAAGGAACACCGGUGGCGAAGGCGCCUACCUGGAUGAGUACUGACGCUGAGGCGCGAAAGCAUGGGGAGCAAACAGGAUUAGAUACCCUGGUAGUCCAUGCCGUAAACGAUGACAACUAGCUUUUAGGGGUAUUGACUCCUUUAGAGGCGCAGCUAACGCAUUAAGUUGUCCGCCUGGGAAGUACGGUCGCAAGACUA